GCAAAAAAUCUAAACGGUCAACCCCCUACAAAAUUAUGAUGAGGAGAUUGCCAAAUGUUGUCCCCAUUGUGCCUAUAAAGAUUGGAACCAACGGAAUGUUGAGCAAAAAGCUACAGCCUGUGAUGUUACAGUCAUUUAACAUUGAAGUCAAUGGGCAAAUAAUUGCUAGUCUGAGUCCUGAUGAUAUAAAGAAGCAUGGCCGACUCGGGAUGUUGAUAUUUUUUCAACGGCUUAUUUCCUGAAGUUUUGAAUGGAAAGUGUCAGAAAUGGUGCCAGGGCAAUGUUUCAUAGAGUGGAAUGAUUGACCUCAACACAAGUAUUAAAAAAAAAGAAGCAAAACAGGUCUACAUCUCAAAACCUGAUCUCUUCCUGGACUGGCUUUAGGAGAACGAUGAUGCAUAUCAAUUUCAUCCCUGAUCUCUAUGACACCUGUGGUGGAAGUGGAGGGCAAAUCGUAAUCAGUUUGGGUUCCAGCCCCG